AGCUCCACCUGUCAUAAACACAAUCCCAUUUCCCAUGUACUCAGUUACUUCUGUUUCUUGAAUCCAUCAUUCAUCCCAUAGAUAUUGAGUGCCUAAUGUAUUCCAGAUAUAGUUCUACAUAAUAGGGAUAGAGCGGUGUAUGAAACAAAGCACCUACCUUCAUAGGACUUAUUCUGAGGAGGUAGGAGGGGAGACAAAUGAUAUAAUAACUUAGACUAUAUCUGAGUAAUACAACAAAUAAGUCUUUAAAAACAGUGGCUUGAAUAAGAUACAAGUUUAUUUAUCUUUCAUGUAACAGUCCAGGGCUAACAGAGCAGUUCUGCCAUCCUCAUCACAGGGCUUCUGCCUCUGGGUCCAAAGUAGUUGCCCCAAUUCCUGCCAUCACAUCUGCACCCCAGCCAGUGGAGAGGGUAAGAGGGCAAGGGCAACACAUACAUAUUCUUUUUUAGGGCACAAACUAGAAAUAAUACAUGCAACUUCCAUUCACAUCUCAUUGGCCCCAAACUUUGGACAAACCCAGAUGCAAGAGAAGCUGGUAAAUUAGCCUUUAAUUGAGAAGCCAAGCGCCCAGAAAGCAGGGAGUUAGAGUAUACAAGGAAAGAUCAUUUUUAUGGAUAUCAGUCUCAUUCAGAAAUAAACAAAUAAAUACAUUAGUAUUCAGAUGGUAUAUGGAGAAUAAUUAAGAAAGUUAUGAGAGGCCGGGCGCACUGGCUCACACCUAUAAUCCCAGCACUUUGGGAGGCCGAGGUGGGUGGAUCACAAGGUCAGGAGAUCGAGACCAUCCUAACACAGUGAAACCCCGUCUCUACUAAAAAUACAAAAAAUUAGCUGGGUAUGGUGGCACUUGCCUGUAGUCCCAGCUACUCGGGAGGCUGAAGCAGGAGAAUCGCUUGAACCCAGGAGGUGGAGGUUGCAGUGAGCCGAGAUUGCACCACUGCACUCCAGCCUGGACAACAGAGCGAGACGCGAGACUCCGUCUCAAAAAAAAAAAAAGUUAUGAGAUAAGGAAUACCAAGAAGUGAGGAAAGAAAAGGAGGGGAGCUUGUUAUCUUACCUAAGAUGUUCAGGGAAGACCUCAAUGACAGUUGGUAAAGUAACUUCUGAGCAAAAGCUUACAAGAAAUUAGGAAGCCAGUCAUGCAAGUAUCUAGGGAUGAGCCUUUGAGAAAAGGAAAUAGCAAGUGCAAACAUCCUGAGAUAGAAGGGCCUUGAUGUAUUCAAGGAAGUACAAGGAGAAAAUUAUGAUGAAAUGGAGCAAAACAGGUAAGAGAGAGGGUCAGAGAAGUGAAUGUGGGCCUUGAUGCUGAAGCCAUUGGAGGGUUUUCUGUUGAGGAGGAGUAUGGGAAUGAUAUGAUCUGACUUAUGUUUCAAAAAGUGUACUCUAGCUGCUUUGUGGGAAAUAUAGGAAGGAGAGAGCAGAAUCAAGGAGGCCAUUUAAAAUGCCAUUGCAAAUAUCCAAGAGAGGUGGAAGCUUGGAGCAGGGAAACAGUGGUGGAGGUGGUGAGAUGUGGUUGGAUGCUGGACAUAUUUUGAGCCAAGAGGAUUGUCUGAUAAAUUGCGUUUGGAAAAUAAGAAAAAGCUUAUUCACUCACCAGCCUAAUAGUCACACCAAUCUAUAAUCCCAGCACUUUGGGAAGCCAAGGCAGGUGGAUCACUUGAAUCCAGGAGUUCAAGACCAACCUGAGCAACAUAGUGAGACCCCAUCUCUACAAAAACAAAAACUCUAAAAAUUAGCCAAGCAUGUGGCAUGCACCUGUAGUCCCAGCUACUCAGGAAGCUGAGGUGGGAUGAUCACUUGAGCCUGGGAGGUCAAGGCUGCAAUGAACUGUAAUCAUGCCACUGCACUCCAGACUGGGUGACAGAGCAAGACCCUGUCUGGGAAAAGAAAAAGGCAUGGCGGGGGGGGGGGGGGGCGGGCAUGGUGGUACACACCUGUAAUCCCAGCACUUUGGGAGGCCGAGGCAGGCAGAUCACCUGAGGUUGGGAGUUCGAGACCAGCCUGGCCAACAUGGUGAAACCCCAUUUCUACAAAAAUACAAAAUUAGCUGGGCAUGAUGGCUGGCAUCUGUAAUCCCAGCUACUCGGGGGGCUGAGGCAGGAGAAUCGCUUGAACCCGAGAGGCAAAGGAUGCAGUGAGCCGAGAUUGUGCCACUGCACUCCAGCCUAGGUGACAGAGCAAGAUUCCAUCUCGAAAGAAAGAAGAAAGAAAGAGAGAGAGAGAGAGAAAGAGAGAAAAGAAAGAAUAAUCACACCCCAAGAAAAUCAAGCUAGGACCAUGGUGAGCAAUGCUCCAAGAGUGUUCUGAUGCUGUAAACUGAGUAUGAUGUGCAUAAAUUGUUUUGCACUCUGCAGGUAGGAGGGUGGGAUAGCCAAAGCUGUUCAAUAUAAUAAUAUUAAAAAAUAAAAUCUCAAUUGAAGUAAAAUACAAAUUUUCUUAAGCAAUAUUUUAAAGUAAAUGGAAAUGUUACAACCUGGAUGAGGGGUGAGGAAUUAAUAACCUCUAAUCACAGAAUAAAAAUGGAAUGAGAAUUCCAUCUACCCAAAUCAGACAAUUAAAAAGUUGAAAGAGGUUACAGUAAAAACUGGGUAAAACUAAAACUUAAAAAAUAAUUUCAGAGGAUACAUGAUAUACUCGUCACACAGAAAACUCCAGUUGAACCUUAUGGACUUGAGGAAUGGAUACCUUUGUGUCUCCAUCACUUAGCACAGUAGCUGGCACCAUGUAAGUUCUCACAGAAUUUUCCUGAACUCUCCAACCAGAGGCAACCUUUCACUCUCCAUUCACAUAACAUUUCCUUCUUUCUCUUCUUUUGGGAAUAACAUAUCUUGCUUGAAUUAUAUUUAUCUUUAUGCCAGUUUAAUUCUCUCUUUUAGAUUCAUUUACAUCUUUGUAUCCUCUAGCUCAUUAUUUUUUCAAAAUAAAAUGGAUUAACAUAAAAAAUUAUUAAAGAGAUAAACUAAAGGAAAAUAUUACAACCUGGCUGAGGGGCAAAAAUUUUAUGUUCAACAUAUAUUUGAUAAUACAUACUGAGAAAACACGGUCUACUUUUACUUUUCAAAAGUUUGUUCAUGUUGACAUUGUGGGGCCUAGAAGAUUUUUAUCAAGUUUUCUAUUUUUGCCAAGUCAUAUGAUCUGCUAUAGUUCAGCUAUAGUUAAUCAAAUGUAGAAAAGAAAAAAAUUUUCCAUAAUAUCUAGUAAUUCUCCAAAACAAGCUUGUUCCUAGUUAAACACUGACAUUCUUUGGUAACUCUCACUUUAUCCCACAGAGGUCAUGUACUUAUUUCCCAUCUGUUGUCCUAUGCUUACAUUCCAAAUUCAGUUGCAUUGACUUUUAGAACAGCUUUAGGAACUGCACCCAGUUUUAAAAUACAUUAUUUGUCUAAAAAUUAUGACAUGAGAUUAAACUGUCAUCUUUGUAGGUUUCUACACAUACUCCAACUCAUUCACCAAUCCUUGAAAAGAUUAUGUAACCAAUCUCAAUGCCCUGACCCAGGCCAAGCCCAUUUCUACAUGUGCAGUGUUCUCUGGAUCUGAUAUUUAAAGCCCCUUAUCCUGAUACUACACACCUUUUGUCUUCUGGAAUGCACCUCUCUUCUCAUCCUUUUUCAAGGCACUAGAAAAGCAGACCAUUUCUGCAGCACCUCAAACCAGGGUGAGAAAGCUCCACUCUAAUCUCAUCAUUUUAGCUACAUAGAUACAUCGGCUCAAGGGAAGAUGCCAAGUGUAGUACUUUACCACUCUGAGGAUUUUUGAAUCUAUAACAGUUGUUUCAACUGGGCCAAUAAUUAUGAAGGGCAAUAAUUAAAAGAGUAUCCAUAGUAAAGGAGUAAGAAAAAAAGUUAGAAAAAAAGUAGAGAAAAAUAUUUACUAGAGUAUUUACUAGAACCCACCACUCUCAGAUCAAUUUUCUAGUGUUCUGUUGACUGGCAACCAGUCAACAAACUUUCAUUGAGAAGCUAUUUUAUAGUAGGCAUUGGGAUAGCCUUUGUGGAAUAAAUACCGAGAAGCAUAUGUCUCUAGCAGAAGACAGACAAGAAAAUGUAAAAACAAGAAAAAGAAAUUGAGGAAUAAGCCUACAGUUUAAAAAGCUACACAAUUAUUCGUUAUGCAAGGAAUGAGGCCUUAAGAGAAAGACUUCCCUGUGAACUACAAUGAGAUGAAAAAGCUUCUCAGAGUGAGAUUUGAGCAAGAGUUUAAAAGAACUGACAGACUGAUAAAAAGCUUCAAGUAGUCCAGAGGACUGAGUACUAAAACUCAGAACAAUGUAACAAAAGCACAGAAGACAAAGUUAAAAUGCUUUACAUGACAGUAGAACAUUUAGGCUAAGCUGGAGGACUGGGGAGAACAAGUGAAGAAGGUAAGUUUUGGCUAGAUAAUAGGUGGCCUUUAGUGUCAGGAUGAGGAUUUGGAAGUUAAUCUUUUGGUCAGUGGAUAAUAAAUGAUGGCAUUUGUGUAGUUGAGCCAGUUGACAAUGCUUUAACAACUUCAAAAGGCCCUGAAAAACAUGGUCCCUAAUCCUUAAGAAAAAAGGAACUCCUGACUUCAGGACCCUAAGCUAGGAGGAAAUUGGAUAAAUUCUCUUAUGGCCCAACUGUAUAGAAAAUAGACCACCUCGGCCGUCUCACUUACUGAGUAACCUUUCCUACCAGAGAAUGUGCUAUAUAUGAUUUCUUUACUUUCAACGGAAAUUUUGGAUUCUCAGUUAUCUUUCCCUGACCUCUUGUCUGGUGAUCAGAAAAAGAUGACUAAACUGGGAAUCUUUAUUUUCUAGUGGAAAAAAAAAAUCAUGUAUACCGCAUUUUAUAUCUUUUAAUUGGGUGUAAAUUUGAAUUUCAACAUCAUAAAAAUUAGUAAAAUUCAUUUUAAGCACAAAGUUGUUAAUUCCCCCAAGAUUUAUCAAGAAUGGCUUAAUUUCAAAGGCUGUCAAGUUAAUUAUAAGCUAAGAUUUUCCAGUUGCACCAAGGGUAUAUUUUAUUUGGCAAAAGAAACAUCCACUGGCUUUUGUCAGGAUGAGUCUUGAGUUAUUCAAGUUUUGAACUGAGAGGUCUUCAGAAAUCCACACUCCUGAGAACACUAAAAACCAACCACCUCGUCAGGUCCCACCUCCAGUCUAGCUGAAUCAGGAAACCUCAGGAGAAGCACCUGGAAGCAGGUUUAACAAGCGCAAAGGUGACUCUUAUAAUUGGGAAAGUUUGGAACCAAGACAGGGUUCUUGUCCUGGAGGAAGUAUUUUCCUGUGGAGAAGGACCUGUAAACAGCCUAUGAAGUGCUCAGCUUUCACCAAGAAAAGAAAAACAUGGGCUGAUAGGGUUAAGGAAACGUUUGACUGAAGAGGAUUAAAUCCUGAAGGUUAGGGAUGUCUUUGGGCGCUGGGGUCUCUCAAUCACCAAAGAUCGACAUUACAGGCCAGGUAGCUCUUUGUCCCCCCAGAGGACUGUCCUGUGCCUUAUGCUUAGCACUCCUGGCCUCUGCCCAUUGGAUACUUCUAGCACCUCCCCCGCAACACACACACACCUGACAACCCAAAACAUCUACAGAUAUUGCCAAAUACUCCACAGGGGGUGGGGUGGUGGCAAUAUAUCUCCCUGUUUGAAGUCACUGGAAUGGAAGUUAGGGGAGGAUGGCUAAGUCAGGACUUGCAAAAAGGCUAAGGGACGAAAGCACAUGGCUAUAUUAGACAAAGUUUGUGACAGACGCCUGUAGGUAUAUGGUAAGGAAAACAGAUUAAAACACUAAGAAAUAGUAAGAGGUCGGACCGAGGGUUUCUCAUCUGUAUGGGAAAUCUCAUCUCGUUCAUUACUUUCAGAAACAAAAAGGAAAACGACUUUAAAGAUACAGGUUAAAGGCCGAAGGGGUGUAGAACCACCCCCCGCCUCCUUCCCUCCAUCCCUCCCAAAUAUCCCAGAACGAGUCAAACCUUUCGAAUCUCGUAGCACAGAUAACAAGCAACUCAGUAAGACUGGACGGGGAUGACUGAGGGCCAACUCAUUACAGGACUACAGGAAACUCCUUAGUCCUAAACCCGAAUGC
rnacentral:lncRNA from 10 species